rnacentral:rRNA from 1 species
GUACCGUGAGGGAAAGGCGAAAAGAACCCCGGCGAGGGGAGUGAAAAAGAACCUGAAACCGUGUACGUACAAGCAGUGGGAGCACGCUUAGGCGUGUGACUGCGUACCUUUUGUAUAAUGGGUCAGCGACUUAUAUUCUGUAGCAAGGUUAACCGAAUAGGGGAGCCGAAGGGAAACCGAGUCUUAACUGGGCGUUAAGUUGCAGGGUAUAGACCCGAAACCCGGUGAUCUAGCCAUGGGCAGGUUGAAGGUUGGGUAACACUAACUGGAGGACCGAACCGACUAAUGUUGAAAAAUUAGCGGAUGACUUGUGGCUGGGGGUGAAAGGCCAAUCAAACCGGGAGAUAGCUGGUUCUCCCCGAAAGCUAUUUAGGUAGCGCCUCGUGAAUUCAUCUCCGGGGGUAGAGCACUGUUUCGGCAAGGGGGUCAUCCCGACUUACCAACCCGAUGCAAACUGCGAAUACCGGAGAAUGUUAUCACGGGAGACACACGGCGGGUGCUAACGUCCGUCGUGAAGAGGGAAACAACCCAGACCGCCAGCUAAGGUCCCAAAGUCAUGGUUAAGUGGGAAACGAUGUGGGAAGGCCCAGACAGCCAGGAUGUUGGCUUAGAAGCAGCCAUCAUUUAAAGAAAGCGUAAUAGCUCACUGGUCGAGUCGGCCUGCGCGGAAGAUGUAACGGGGCUAAACCAUGCACCGAAGCUGCGGCAGCGACGCUGAUGCGUUGUUGGGUAGGGGAGCGUUCUGUAAGCCUGUGAAGGUGUGCUGUGAGGCAUGCUGGAGGUAUCAGAAGUGCGAAUGCUGACAUAAGUAACGAUAAAGCGGGUGAAAAGCCCGCUCGCCGGAAGACCAAGGGUUCCUGUCCAACGUUAAUCGGGGCAGGGUGAGUCGACCCCUAAGGCGAGGCCGAAAGGCGUAGUCGAUGGGAAACAGGUUAAUAUUCCUGUACUUGGUGUUACUGCGAAGGGGGGACGGAGAAGGCUAUGUUGGCCGGGCGACGGUUGUCCCGGUUUAAGCGUGUAGGCUGGUUUUCCAGGCAAAUCCGGAAAAC